GGUGUGAGUGACCCGAUUUUCCAGGU
rnacentral:piRNA from 1 species